rnacentral:rRNA from 1 species
CUGGCUCAGGAUGAACGCUAGCUACAGGCUUAACACAUGCAAGUCGAGGGGCAGCAUUUCAGUUUGCUUGCAAACUGGAGAUGGCGACCGGCGCACGGGUGAGUAACACGUAUCCAACCUGCCGAUAACUCGGGGAUAGCCUUUCGAAAGAAAGAUUAAUACCCGAUGGUAUAAUCAGACCGCAUGGUCUUGUUAUUAAAGAAUUUCGGUUAUCGAUGGGGAUGCGUUCCAUUAGGCAGUUGGUGAGGUAACGGCUCACCAAACCUUCGAUGGAUAGGGGUUCUGAGAGGAAGGUCCCCCACAUUGGAACUGAGACACGGUCCAAACUCCUACGGGAGGCAGCAGUGAGGAAUAUUGGUCAAUGGGCGCAGGCCUGAACCAGCCAAGUAGCGUGAAGGAUGACUGCCCUAUGGGUUGUAAACUUCUUUUAUAUGGGAAUAAAGUUUUCCACGUGUGGAAUUUUGUAUGUACCAUAUGAAUAAGGAUCGGCUAACUCCGUGCCAGCAGCCGCGGUAAUACGGAGGAUCCGAGCGUUAUCCGGAUUUAUUGGGUUUAAAGGGAGCGUAGGUGGACAGUUAAGUCAGUUGUGAAAGUUUGCGGCUCAACCGUAAAAUUGCAGUUGAUACUGGCUGUCUUGAGUACAGUAGAGGUGGGCGGAAUUCGUGGUGUAGCGGUGAAAUGCUUAGAUAUCACGAAGAACUCCGAUUGCGAAGGCAGCUCACUGGACUGCAACUGACACUGAUGCUCGAAAGUGUGGGUAUCAAACAGGAUUAGAUACCCUGGUAGUCCACACAGUAAACGAUGAAUACUCGCUGUUUGCGAUAUACAGUAAGCGGCCAAGCGAAAGCAUUAAGUAUUCCACCUGGGGAGUACGCCGGCAACGGUGAAACUCAAAGGAAUUGACGGGGGCCCGCACAAGCGGAGGAACAUGUGGUUUAAUUCGAUGAUACGCGAGGAACCUUACCCGGGCUUAAAUUGCAUUUGAAUAUAUUGGAAACAGUAUAGCCGUAAGGCAAAUGUGAAGGUGCUGCAUGGUUGUCGUCAGCUCGUGCCGUGAGGUGUCGGCUUAAGUGCCAUAACGAGCGCACCCUUAUCUUUAGUUACUAACAGGUCAUGCUGAGGACUCUAGAGAGACUGCCGUCGUAAGAUGUGAGGAAGGUGGGGAUGACGUCAAAUCAGCACGGCCCUUACGUCCGGGGCUACACACGUGUUACAAUGGGGGGUACAGAAGGCAGCUACCUGGUGACAGGAUGCUAAUCCCAAAAGCCUCUCUCAGUUCGGAUCGAAGUCUGCAACCCGACUUCGUGAAGCUGGAUUCGCUAGUAAUCGCGCAUCAGCCAUGGCGCGGUGAAUACGUUCCCGGGCCUUGCACACACCGCCCGUA